rnacentral:rRNA from 1 species
CAGCGGCGAACGGGUGAGUAACACGUGGGUGAUCUGCCUCGUACUCUGGGAUAAGCCUGGGAAACUGGGUCUAAUACCGGAUAGGACUACUGGAUGCAUGUCUGGUGGUGGAAAGAUUUAUCGGUGCGAGAUGGGCCCGCGGCCUAUCAGCUUGUUGGUGGGGUAAUGGCCUACCAAGGCGACGACGGGUAGCCGACCUGAGAGGGUGACCGGCCACACUGGGACUGAGACACGGCCCAGACUCCUACGGGAGGCAGCAGUGGGGAAUAUUGCACAAUGGGCGGAAGCCUGAUGCAGCGACGCCGCGUGAGGGAUGACGGCCUUCGGGUUGUAAACCUCUUUCGACAGGGACGAAGCGCAAGUGACGGUACCUGUAUAAGAAGCACCGGCCAACUACGUGCCAGCAGCCGCGGUAAUACGUAGGGUGCGAGCGUUGUCCGGAAUUACUGGGCGUAAAGAGCUUGUAGGCGGUUCGUCGCGUCGAUUGUGAAAACUUGCAGCUCAACUGCAAGCUUGCAGUCGAUACGGGCGGACUAGAGUACUUCAGGGGAGACUGGAAUUCCU